AAGGGAGAGACUUUCGAGGAACUUUUUAUUACUGCGCUGAUCGCCGCCUGGUCGUGGGAGGUGCUACACUAAUUCGCUGGGAUGUACAGACAUCUAAUAGAUCUAUUUGUUCACCUGUAAAGCAACUCCAUGGAAUGAAAAUGCACCAAAUUCCUGUACCCAAACCCCUGGCACCCAAGAUUUCCUCUGAAAGUGCAGGGAAUGAGGCAUUGAGAGCAACAGGAGUUCUACAUCUACAUCAUACUGGAAGUUGCCAUAAUCUUGAAUGUGACAUCUUUUUGAAUGCAGAUAUAUAUCCAAGUGGGUGCACUAAGCAUACAGCCUUCAUGCCAUGAUGGGGAAUGGUGGAGGAUGCCAAGAAUAACCAUUAUAAACAGAAUCUUCAGCCUGUUAGGCCAGUGUGAGAAUGCUUGGUAGAGCAGCCAAUACCCACAGGAGGAGGGCACCUGUCACUCGCAGGUACUGAACCAUUCAGUGUUUCUUCAUUUGAUCCAUUCUCUCUAACCUACUAUAUGUUAUUCCUUCAAAAUGACACAAUACCCAGAAUAAAGACACACACACACAGUGGCUUGAUGGUAAAUCUGUGACAGCACAGUUUUAUUAAUAUGU